rnacentral:rRNA from 1 species
UACGGAAGGCAGUGGGGAAUAUUGGACAAUGGGCGAAAGCCUGAUCCAGCCAUGCCGCAUGAGUGAAGAAGGCCUUCGGGUUGUAAAGCUCUUUUAGUGAGAAAGAUAAUGACGGUACUCACAGAAGAAGUCCUGGCUAACUCCGUGCCAGCAGCCGCGGUAAUACGGAGAGGGCUAGCGUUAUUCGGAAUUAUUGGGCGUAAAGAGCGCGUAGGCUGAUUAGUAAGUUAAAAGUGAAAUCCCAAAGCUUACUUUGGAAUUGCUUUUUAAAACUGCUAGUCUAGAGAUUUGAAAGAGGAUAGAGGAAUUCCUAGUGUAGAGGUGAAAUUCGUAAAUAUUAGGAGGAACACCAGUGGCGAAGGCGUCUAUCUGGUUCAAAUCUGACGCUGAGGCGCGAAGGGCGUGGGGAGCAAACAGGGAUUAGAUACC